rnacentral:rRNA from 1 species
GUCCACGCCGUAAACGAUGGAUGCUAGAUGUUUCCGGUAUUGACCCCGGAGGUGUCGUAGCUAACGCGUUAAGCAUCCCGCCUGGGGAGUACGGCCGCAAGGCUAAAACUCAAAGGAAUUGACGGGGGCCCGCACAAGCGGUGGAGCAUGUGGUUCAAUUCGACGCAACGCGAAGAACCUUACCUGGGUUGGAACCCUCCAGAAGUCCGCAGAGAUGUGGAUGUGCUCGCAAGAGAACUGGAUGUCCAGGUGCUGCAUGGCUGUCGU